rnacentral:tRNA from 1 species
CGCGUACGAGGGCGUCGGCGAGCCGCACGCCUACCAGGCGGGCGACUUCACGGUGGUGGAGGUGCCGUUGCUGUUCGAGGCGGGGGAGGCGACC